UUUUAGCCCUGAUGGGAGCGGCAUCCUUUUUCUUGCUUUUUUGUAGGAAAAAGAUAAAGCAGACAGCAGGAAACAGC
rnacentral:sRNA from 1 species